rnacentral:rRNA from 1 species
GACGAACGCUGGCGGCGUGCUUAACACAUGCAAGUCGAACGGAAAGGCCUUUUCGGAGGUACUCGAGUGGCGAACGGGAGCGUAACACGUGGGUGAUCUGCCCUGCACUCUGGGAUAAGCCUGGGAAACUGGGUCUAAUACCGGAUAGGACCGCACUCUAGAGAGUGAGGUGGAAAGUUUUUUCGGUGUAGGAUGAGCCCGCGGCCUAUAAGCUUGUUGGUGGGGGAAUGGCCUACCAAGGCGGCGACGGGUAGCCGGACUGAGAGGUUGGUCGGCCACAUUGGGACUGAGAUACGGCCCAGACUCCAACGGGCGGCAGCAGUGGGGAAUAUUGCACAAUGGGCGCAAGCCUGAUACAGCGACGCCGCGUGGGGGAUGACGGCCUUCGGGUUGUAAACGCCUUUCGCCAGGGACGAAGCGUUUUGUGACGGUACCUGGAGAAGAAGCACCGGCUAACUACGUG